GAUGAAGAACGUAGCGAAAUGCGAUAAGUAAUGUGAAUUGCAGAAUUCAGUGAAUCAUCGAAUCUUUGAACGCACAUUGCGCCCCUUGAUAUUCCGAGGGGCAUGCCUGUUCGAGCGUCAUUAUAACCCCUCAAGCUCAGCUUGGUGUUGGGGCCUGCUGCACUGGCAGCCCUUAAAAUCAGUGGCGGCGCCAUCUGGCUCUAAGCGUAGUAAUUCUUCUCGCUAUGGAGUCCUGGUGGAUGCUUGCCAUCAACCCCCAAUUUUUCUAUGGUUGACCUCGGAUCAGGUAGGGAUACCCGCUGAACUUAAGCAUAUCAAUAAGCGGAGGA
rnacentral:misc_RNA from 1 species